rnacentral:rRNA from 1 species
AACUCGAUCUCAAAUCAAGUAAGACUACCCGCUGAACUUAAGCAUAUCAAUAAGCGGAGGAAAAGAAAACUAACAAGGAUUCCCCUAGUAACGGCGAGUGAAGCGGGAUGAGCUCAAAUUUAAAAUCUGGCUGGUUUACUAGUCCGAAUUGUAGUUUAUAGAAGCGUUUUCGGUGGCAGCCUGGGUAUAAAUCCUUUGGAAUAGGGUAUCAUAGAGGGUGAGAAUCCCGUCUUUGACUCAGUGCAUGCUACUAUGUGAUACGUUUUCAAAGAGUCGAGUUGUUUGGGAAUGCAGCUCAAAAUGGGUGGUAAAUUUCAUCUAAGGCUAAAUAUUGGCGAGAGACCGAUAGCGAACAAGUACCGUGAGGGAAAGAUGAAAAGAACUUUGAAAAGAGAGUUAAACAGUGCGUGAAAUUGUUGAAAGGGAAACGUUUGACACCAGUUAUGCGGGUGGAAAAUCAGUCUUUUGCAAUGGGGAGUUGUGGGCGUUCAGACCGCAAGGCUGGCGUUUGCUUCAUCUUUGUUGUAAGUGAUGCACUUUUUCAUUUGCAGGUCAACAUCAGUUUGCUUUGCUGGACAAAACCCCAAGGGAAGGUGGCAGCUUAGGCUGUGUUAUAGCCCUGGGGCGAUACAGUGGAGUGGACUGAGGUUUCGCAGUGUGUGCUCUCGGGCAAGGCUGACUGGGUGCUAUGGGAUCGUUCGGCGUACAAUGCAUGCAUUUUGCGUCGUGUCUUUUUCAUACUCGCUCAACUCGGCUCUUCCACACUUAGGAUGUUGACUUAAUGGUUUUAAACGACCCGUCUUGAAACACGGACCAAGGAGUCUAACAUAUAUGCAAGUGUUUGGGUGGCAAACCCAUGCGCGUAAUGAAAGUGAACGUAGGUGCGAUCCGCAAGGUGCAGCAUCGACCGAUCUUGAUAU